AUUGAACGCUGGCGGCAUGCCUUACACAUGCAAGUCGAACGGCAGCACGGGUGCUUGCUCCUGGUGGCGAGUGGCGAACGGGUGAGUAAUACAUCGGAACAUGUCCUGUAGUGGGGGAUAGCCCGGCGAAAGCCGGAUUAAUACCGCAUACGAUCCACGGAUGAAAGCGGGGGACCUUCGGCCCUCGCGCUAUAGGGUUGGCCGAUGGCUGAUUAGCUAGUUGGUUGGGUAAAGGCCUACCAAGGCGACGAUCAGUAGCUGGUCUGAGAGUACGACCAGCCACACUGGGACUGAGACACGGCCCAGACUCCUACGGGAGGCAGCAGUGGGGAAUUUUGGACAAUGGGCGAAAGCCUGAUCCAGCAAUGCCGCGUGUGUGAAGAAGGCCUUCGGGUUGUAAAGCACUUUUGUCAGGAAAGAAAUCCUUGACUCUAAUACAGUCGGGGGAUGACGGUACCGGAAGAAUAAGCACCGGCUAACUACGUG
rnacentral:rRNA from 1 species